rnacentral:misc_RNA from 1 species
GAUGAAGAACGUAGCGAAAUGCGAUACUUGGUGUGAAUUGCAGAAUCCCGUGAACCAUCGAGUCUUUGAACGCAAGUUGCGCCCGAAGCCAUUAGGCCGAGGGCACGCCUGCCUGGGCGUCACACGUCGUUGCCCCCCCAUCUACUCCUUCGGGAUUGCGGGGGGCGGAUGAUGGCCUCCCGUGCGCCUCGCCGCGCGGUUGGCAUAAAUGCCAAGUCCUCGGCGACGCACGCCACGACAAUCGGUGGUUGUCCAACCCUCGGUGCCAUGCUGCGCGCGCUAGCCGCUCACUGUUACUCGACGACCCCAAUGCGUCGUAGCCACGACGCUCACAACGCGACCCCAGGUCAGGCGGGGCUACCCGCUGAGUUUAAGCAUAUCAAUAAGCGGAGGA